rnacentral:rRNA from 1 species
AUGUACAUUCAUACAAAAUAGCGUUAAUGCACCAGAUCUCAUUAGAACUCCAUAUUUAAGUGUGUUCAGGUUAGAGUAGUACUGGGAUGGGUGACCACCCAUGAAGUCCUAGUGUUUUACAUG